CCACCCAAACCACCCCAUCCCAGGUACUUUCCCCUGCAGCAGCAGGAGAUGCAACACCUGUCCUUAUACUUUCCCCCUCGACUCUCUCUGAGGACCCUGACAGUCUCAGGUGAGGCAGAGGUUCA